UAAUACUAGAACAUGAAGCGCGCUUUGCGCGCCCUAUCACGAGUAUAGAAAUAUAAAUAAAUAUAAUAUAUAAAAGGUAAUUGAAGAGCAAUUUAUUAUUAUUGGAAAACAAAGUACAUAUGAAAUUGUUUUAAAAAAAUACAUACAAAAACGUGUACACCAAGUAUUCCUAGUUUAGCAUUCUGAAAAUUAGAAAAAUGGAAUAUAAUGAACUAUGACUAUGUAAAGUCUGUUUUGUCUCUCAAAUCAAUAGGCCUCUUGGAUGCUAGUUAGAUUUGCAACUGAAUGAUUCAGAUGUAGAACCAUGCUUGCUGUGUUGCCAUUUGAAAUGUGAAAACAUAGUCACAUAGAAGCCACUGAUCUUCACCUCCUAAUGGUGACAAUGAAAUCAAAAUAUGGUCUGCAGGAAUAGAAAACUACUUCUCUCACAUCUCCUCCCCCCUUAUUUCAAUUUGCGAUCUCAGUCAGCACAUAACAAUGAACAGAUAACCAAAAUUUAAGAAAUAAAAUUGCAGUGCGCCUUGUUACACCAUAUGACAACCAAAUAUAUUUUAUACGUCAAACCAAGCUGCACUGUGCUCGAAUAAACACCUGAAUUGAAGCGCACAAAUGGCAGCACAAUGGUCUAGAUUGUAUAUUGUCUCUAGUUCCGACAGCACAAAAAAAAU